AAAUUGAAGAGUUUGAUCAUGGCUCAGAUUGAACGCUGGCGGCAGGCCUAACACAUGCAAGUCGAACGGUAGCACAGAGAGCUUGCUCUCGGGUGACGAGUGGCGGACGGGUGAGUAAUGUCUGGGAAACUGCCUGAUGGAGGGGGAUAACUACUGGAAACGGUGGCUAAUACCGCAUAACGUCGCAAGACCAAAGAGGGGGACCUUCGGGCCUCUUGCCAUCAGAUGUGCCCAGAUGGGAUUAGCUAGUUGGUGAGGUAACGGCUCACCAAGGCGACGAUCCCUAGCUGGUCUGAGAGGAUGACCAGCCACACUGGAACUGAGACACGGUCCAGACUCCUACGGGAGGCAGCAGUGGGGAAUAUUGCACAAUGGGCGCAAGCCUGAUGCAGCCAUGCCGCGUGUAUGAAGAAGGCCUUC
rnacentral:rRNA from 1 species